UAAUUUGAGAGUUUGAUCCUGGCUCAGGAUGAACGCUGGCGGCGUGCUUAACACAUGCAAGUCGAACGGACAAAGAAGACUUCGGUUUUCUUUGUUAGUGGCGGACGGGUGAGUAACGCGUGGGCAACCUACCUUAUACAGGGGGAUAACAGUUAGAAAUGACUGUUAAUACCGCAUAAGCGCCCGAGAUCGCAUGAUCUUGAGUGA
rfam:Clostridiales bacterium CHKCI001 isolate CHKC1 genome assembly, contig: {contig22}